GACGAACGCUGGCGGCGUGCCUAAUACAUGCAAGUGGGACGCAAGAGGACACACUGUGCUUGCACACCGUGUUUUCUUGAGUCGCGAACGGGUGAGUAACGCGUAGGUAACCUGCCUAUUAGCGGGGGAUAACUAUUGGAAACGAUAGCUAAUACCGCAUAAUAUUAAUUAUUGCAUGAUAAUUGAUUGAAAGAUGCAAGCGCAUCACUAGUAGAUGGACCUGCGUUGUAUUAGCUAGUUGGUAAGGUAAGAGCUUACCAAGGCGACGAUACAUAGCCGACCUGAGAGGGUGAUCGGCCACACUGGGACUGAGACACGGCCCAGACUCCUACGGGAGGCAGCAGUAGGGAAUCUUCGGCAAUGGACGAAAGUCUGACCGAGCAACGCCGCGUGAGUGAAGAAGGUUUUCGGAUCGUAAAGCUCUGUUGUAAGUCAAGAACGUGUGUGAGAGGGAAAGUUCACACA
rnacentral:rRNA from 1 species